GCAACCAGUUGCUCUACAUACCUAACCAUGGCAUUUAAUUUAAAUUAUAAUACUUGGAUAUUUAUUUAGGGCGCAGUUUCUUUAGUAAUACUUUACAUAACUAUGACACCAUCGUACAAUUGUAUUUGUUAUCCGAUAUUAUGGAAUAUAUGCCACUUUAUAUGAAGAUAUACACAUCAUAAGUGGUUUAUAGUUAUAUCAUGCACAACAUAAAGGAGUUUGGUUUACCCAAAUAUUUGAAAGAAACUACAUGAACACAUCUAUAAGAACUGCCUACAACAUUCUUAUCAAAUUACCUGUCAUUUGCCUCCUCAUCA
rnacentral:misc_RNA from 1 species